rnacentral:lncRNA from 1 species
CUCUGAGGGGCUGGAAAGUGCCCCACCAAUCUGGCUAAGAUAAGGAAAAGAUAUGAAGAGAAAGUUACAGAAACUUGAAGGGUUAAGCUAAGUCACUGAGAGAGUUAUUGUAAGUUGCAGAGAAAAUAAGUUGAUGCGUGGUUCAGGGUCUGUGCAGAAAAGUGGACAGCACCUAAUAGCUGUAGAAGAAGAUGCAGAGAGACUGAAAAAAGAAAGAAAGAAAGAAAGAAAGAAAGAAAGAAAGAAAGAAAGAAAGAAAAAAGAGCAGGAAGCUAGGGAAGAAAAGAGACCAAAAGAAGAGGAAGCUAGAGAGCUAAAGAGAGAUAAAAGAGAGGAACAUAUACUGGC